rnacentral:rRNA from 1 species
UACGGAGGGUGCAAGCGUUAUCCGGAUUCACUGGGUUUAAAGGGCGCGUAGGCGGUCUUGUAAGUCUCGUGUGAAAUCCCUCGGCUUAACUGAGGAACUGCACGGGAUACUGCAUGACUUGAGAUCGGGAGAGGGAAGCGGAAUUCCUGGUGUAGCGGUGAAAUGCGUAGAUAUCAGGAGGAACACCUGCGGUGUAGACGGCUUUCUGGACCACUACUGACACUGAGGCACGAAAGCGUGGGGAGCAAACAGG